rnacentral:rRNA from 1 species
GACGAACGCUGGCGGCGUGCUUAACACAUGCAAGUCGAACGGUAAGGCCCUUCGGGAUACACGAGUGGCGAACGGGUGAGUAACACGUGGGUGAUCUGCCCUGCACUUCGGGAUAAGCCUGGGAAACUGGGUCUAAUACCGGAUAGGACUCCGGACUGCAUGGUCUGGGGUGGAAAGCUUUUGCGGUGUGGGAUGGGCCCGCGGCCUAUCAGCUUGUUGGUGGGGUGAUGGCCUACCAAGGCGACGACGGGUAGCCGGCCUGAGAGGGUGACCGGCCACACUGGGACUGAGAUACGGCCCAGACUCCUACGGGAGGCAGCAGUGGGGAAUAUUGCACAAUGGGCGCAAGCCUGAUGCAGCGACGCCGCGUGAGGGAUGACGGCCUUCGGGUUGUAAACCUCUUUCAGCAUCGACGAAGCGAAAGUGGCGGUAGGUGCAGAAGAAGGACCGGCCAACUACGUGCCAGCAGCCGCGGUAA